GGGUAAAAAUUAAUUAUUAUAUUUUUAAUAAAAAAAUUUUUAAAUUUUAUUGAUUAUUUUAAUGGGGGUUAAAGUAUUUUGAUAGAAAAAAUUUAUAAAUUUAUAGUUAAUUAAGUAUUGUGAGAGAAUUUUGAAAUAAAAAUUUUAAUUAAUUAAAUUUAAAAAAAGUAAUUUUAAUUUAAUGUAUCUUGUGUAUCAGAGUUUAUUAAUAAAUUAUUUUGGGUUAAAUAUUUCUCGAAUUUAAGGGAGAUAAUUAAAUAUAAAAGUUAUUGUAGCAUAAAUAUUUUUCAUAUUUAAUUAGAAAUGAAAUGUUAAUCGUUCUUAAAUAUAUCUAGUUUUUUUAGAAAAAAAUUUAAUUUUAAAUUUAUUUUAAUAAUUAAAUAUUUUAUGUAUUUAAUUGUUUAUUAAAUUUUAUAUUUUAAGGGAUAAGCUUUAAAUUAUAUUUUAUAUAAUUAUUAAGAAAUAUUUUGAAAAUUAUAUGAUUUAUAUUGUUAAAAAAUUUUAUUUUAUUAUAAAUAAUUUCGUUUAUUUAAUUAAAAUUUAAUUUAAAUUUAUUUUUUUUUUAUAAAAAAAAAAAUUUAAAAUUUUAUAUAAUUAGAUAUAAUGAUAAAAUUAGUAUAAUUAGGUUUAUUAUAUUAAUAGGAUUUAAUAUUUUGUUAUUUAUUUUAAAGGAAUUCGGCAAAUUUUUAUAUUCACUUGUUUAUCAAAAACAUGUCUUUUUGAAAUAAUUUAAAGUCUAAUCUGCCCACUGAUUUAAUUAUUAAAGGGCUGCAGUAUUUUGACUGUACAAAGGUAGCAUAAUCAUUAGUCAUUUAAUUGAUGACUUGUAUGAAAGAUUGGAUGAAAUAUAGACUGUCUUUAAUUUAAUAUUUAGAAUUUAAUUUUUAAGUUAAAAAGCUUAAAUAAAUUAAAAAGACGAGAAGACCCUAUAGAGUUUUAUUUUUUAUUAAAAGUUUAUAUUUUUAUUAAUUUAUUAAUUAAAAUUUUGUUAAAUAAUUUUGUUGGGGUGAUGGAAAAAUUAAAUUAACUUUUUUUUUCUUUUAACAUAAAUAAGUGAGUUAAUGAUCCAUUAUUAUUGAUUAUAAGAAAAAAUUACCUUAGGGAUAACAGCGUAAUUUUAUUUUUUAGUUCAUAUAAGAAAUAGAGUUUGCGACCUCGAUGUUGGAUUAAGAUAAAAUUUGAAUGCAGAAGUUUAAAAUUUUGAUCUGUUCGAUCAUUAAAAUCUUACAUGAUCUGAGUUCAAACCGGUGUAAGCCAGGUUGGUUUCUAUCUUUUAUUAAAUGAAAUAUUUUAGUACGAAAGGAUUAAAUAUUUAAAUUAAAUUUUAAUUUUUGAAUUUUAUUAAAUAGAUUUAAAAAUUUUUAUUUCAUUAAU
rnacentral:rRNA from 1 species